GUUAGGCAUUACUAUUAUCAACUGUUGUUCGAAAGUGUUUCCGUGCUCUUUGACGUGCUAUCGCUCUCAAACCAAAAUCGAAGUUUUUGUAGUUAGAGUUUCGUAUUCUUUUUGACAUGGUCAGAGCUUUCUUGUGAAAAGAACUGAAGCUGAUUUGUACGUUAACUUAGUGGUUAUCUUGCAGGUAUCCGGCCUGCCCUACAGCCAUCAAUUUCUCACCAGGAGGGAAUUUUACGAUGAGAGUACCUCCCAGCCAGUCAUUAUAUUCCUCUGCUAACAACGAAGAUCUCCUUACUUGGGUUUUGGGUCUUUUAGGUGUGUCAAAUGAACUUUGAGCUUUCAAGCCUGAGACGCAUUUAAAUAAGGACUAGAAAAUCAACGUCUAAGAUCAAAGCAAGGAAUUUUUCUGAGAUGUUUCACUCCACUGGGGUCUCAAUCUCGAGACUUCUGUAACUGAAAGUUGACGACCUAGUCCUACCAAUACCGUUAAAUCGUUACCCGUCCAGGAAGUAUCCUCCCCGGAAGUGAACUCCAGUCGAAUAGGUAUGCUUAUAUUGUAGAUUACAUCGAACCCACACAUUAUAGUCAAAAUUUUGCCACCAGUGUUUUCAUGUUUCGGCUUCCCUUGUGAAAAUACUUGCUGAGUAUCAAGACGAAAAGAGGGUAUACCUAUAUCCAUAAAAGUUUUACAAAUUAUUACCUAUGUAUUCUGUUAAUCAUUCGUCGUAAAGUUAAAGCGUUGCAAAUUACAGUUAAGUAGGUACUGAAGUUCUUUUUUGUCGUGAGAUUUAUGAGCCGUUAUGUUUUACUAUUUGAUGCUUUGGAUUAUGUCCCACUUGUGGGUUUAAAAGUGAUUCUGAAUUUUCCGAAUUUUUAAUUUAAUCGAAACCUACUUGAUUUUCUUGCUUAAUAUUUACCGAACCAUCAUGUUUUACUACUUCAUUCUUUGGCUCAUACUUACCCCACUUGUGGGUUUGAGAUAGAGCGAGAAUUCUCCGCUGCAAGUACCUAGUUUUAAAAACCAGUUUAAACGCUGUUUAUUUUCUCUUUUUUAAUUAUGAGUUUCUGAGUCAUCAUGUUUUACUAUUUGGUGCUUUUGAUUAUGUCCCACUUGUGGGUUUAAAAGUGAUUCCGAAUUUUCCAAAUUUUUAAUUCAAUCGAAAACCUACUUAAUUUUCUUGCUGAAUAAUUUCCGAGCGAUCAUGUUUUACUAUUUCAUUCUUUGGCUCAUACCCCACUUGUGGGUUUGAGAUAGAGCGAUAACUCUCCGCUGCAUGUAAAUUUAAAAACCAGUUUACCAAUACUCCUUUUUUUUCUCUUAUUUAAUUAUGAGCUUCUGAGUCAUCAUGUUUUACUAUUUGAUGCUUUUGAUUAUGUCCCACUUGUGGGUUUAAAAGUGAUUCCGAAUUUUCCAAAUUUUUAAUUCAAUCGAAAACCUACUUAAUUUUCUUGCUGAAUAAUUUCCGAGCGAUCAUGUUUUACUAUUUCAUUCUUUGGCUCAUACCCCACUUGUGGGUUUGAGAUAGAGCGAUAACUCUCCGCUGCAAGUAAAUUUAAAAACCAGUUUAAACUCCUUUUUUUUUCUCUUAUUUAAUUAUGAGCUUCUGAGUCAUCAUGUUUUACUAUUUGAUGCUUUUGAUUAUGUCCCACUUGUGGGUUUAAAAGUGAUUCCGAAUUUUCCAAAUUUUUAAUUCAAUCGAAAACCUACUUAAUUUUCUUGCUGAAUAAUUUCCGAGCGAUCAUGUUUUACUAUUUCAUUCUUUGGCUCAUACCCCACUUGUGGGUUUGAGAUAGAGCGAUAACUCUCCGCUGCAAGUAAAUUUAAAAACCAGUUUAAACUCCUUUUUUUUCUCUUAUUUAAUUAUGAGUUUCUGAUUCAUCAUGUUUUACUAUUUGAUGCUGGAUUAUGUCCCAUUUGUGGGUUUAAAAAGCGAUUCCGAAUUUUCCAAA